GGAAGAUGGCGCCCCCAGCCCGCUCAAGGCAGGGUCGCCACAGACCCUCCACCUGUGGGGAAGCGGUAGAACACGGUCUGCCUGUGUCUUUGGGGGGCCACUUUCAGCCCCCCACAGGCUUGGGUUGGGGGUCUUGGGACUCCCCCCCAGGAGUUGGUGGCAGAGUGGGGAGCUCACCCCAUGCGCUGUUCUCCAAAAUUUCCCAUUUUCUGUCUCCCCAUGAGGCACGGGUGUUUCCCCCAAGCAGUGGCUCGGGGGUACGUGGGCUUCGUGCCCGAGAGACACGACCUUGUUCUUUACCACAGAUUUGCCGUCGGCACAGUGAGUCGCUGCUGCCCUCGAAUCCUGAGAGGGACGGGCCAGACCCUGACUUAGAAACGUCCUCGUCGUGUCACCAACUGGAGGAGGACAGCGCCGCCUUGCAACCCGAGCCCGGUCCCCAGCCGGGCCCCUCAGAGGAGGCGGAGGAGGGUGCCGCGCUGCAGCAGAUGGUGGUCGGGGCGAGCCCCGCGGCCCCAGAGCAGGCGCUGUGCGCUGUGGCUCUGGCUGCCCCUGGGCCGCAGGACCAGCCCGCGGCGUCCCUGUCCCUCAGGGCCCUGGAGCAGGAGUAUGAAACUAACUAUUUUGUGAAAGAUUCGUCCAAUGAAGGCAGGAUCUACUAUGGAUUUGAAGAACGGAUUUCCGAUAAAGACUGGAAAACAUUUAUGAGGCUUGUCGGCCUGGAAGACAUUGAUAUUGAGAAAUGCGAACGUGAAAACCGUAACGAUGUGACGGAGCAGCAUCACCAGAUGCUCCUGAGGUGGAGAACCCAGCUGGGCCGGGGAGCGUCUGUGUUUAAACUGUUCGCCGCCCUCCAUAAGAUGCAGCUGCAUAUGCAUUUGGAAAAUAUCAUAAACGGGUUACUUGCGGAAGGCAUCCUGGGCAGA
rnacentral:lncRNA from 1 species